rnacentral:rRNA from 1 species
UACGGGGGGGGCAAGCGUUGUUCGGAAUUACUGGGCGUAAAGGGCUCGUAGGCGGCCAACUAAGUCCGACGUGAAAUCCCCAGGCUUAACCUGGGAACUGCGUCGGAUACUGGAUGGCUUGAAUUCGGGAGAGGGAUGCAGAAUUCCAGGUGUAGCGGUGAAAUGCGUAGAUAUCUGGAGGAACACCGGUGGCGAAGGCGGCAUCCUGGACCGAAACUGACACUGAGGAGCGAAAGCCAGGGGAGCAAACGGG